GACGAACGCUGGCGGCGUGCUUAACACAUGCAAGUCGAACGGAAAGACGCUGAUCUUGCUCGGCUCUCGAGUGCCGCACGGGUGAGUAACACGUGAGUAAACUCCCCUUAACUUUGGGGUAACAUCAGGAAACACGGGCUCUAACCGGAUAUGAGCUCCUGCUGCGUAGUGGGCGUUAGUAAGUUUCGGCGGUUGGGGAUGGUCUCGCGGCUUACCCGCUUCUUGGUGGGGUAGUGGCUGACCAAGGCUUUGACGGGAAGCCGGCCUGAGAGGCUGAACGGCCACAAUGGGCCUGAGAGACGCCCCAGACGCCUACGUGAGGCAGCGGUGGAGAAUAUGGCAGAAUGGGCGGAAGCCUGAUGCAGCAACGCCGGGUGCGGGAUGACGGCCUUUGGGUUGUAAACCGAUUUCGCAUGUGACGAGGCGUGAGUGACGGUAAUGGGUAAAGAAGCAACGGCUAACUACGUG
rnacentral:rRNA from 1 species